CGGUGGAGGGAAGGGAAUUAAGAGCAAGAAGACCACGUCAGGCUGCUGCCUUGGCCGGCAGGAAACAAGAGUGUGUAAAGAAAGCUGCUGACUCCUUAAGAGAGCUUUGCUUAUGAAGCUGAACUCAAAACUCACUGAGGCACCAACAGAAACACCAAUUAUGCCAUGACAAGGUGACCACUGGUAACUCACUGAGGCACCAACAGAAACACCAAUUAUGCCAUGACAAGGUGACCACUGGUAACUCACUGAGGCACCAACAGAAACACCAAUUAUGCCAUGACAAGGUGACCACUGGUAACUCACUGAGGCACCAACAGAAACACCAAUUAUGCCAUGACAAGGUGACCACUGGUAACUCACUGAGGCACUAACAGAAACACCAAUUAUGCCAUGACAAGGUGACCACUGGUAACUCACUGAGGCACUAACAGAAACACCAAUUAUGCCAUGACAAGGUGACCACUGGUAACUCACUGAGGCACCAACAGAAACACCAAUUAUGCCAUGACAAGGUGACCACUGGUAACUCACUGAGGCACCAACAGAAACACCAAUUAUGCCAUGACAAGGUGACCACUGGUAACUCACUGAGGCACCAACAGAAACACCAAUUAUGCCAUGACAAGGUGACCACUGGUAACUCACUGAGACACUAACAGAAACACCAAUUAUGCCAUGACAAGGUGACCACUGGUAACUCACUGAGGCACCAACAGAAACACCAAUUAUGCCAUGACAAGGUGACCACUGGUAACUCACUGAGACACUAACAGAAACACCAAUUAUGCCAUGACAAGGUGACCACUGGUAACUCACUGAGGCACUAACAGAAACACCAAUUAUGGCAUGACAAGGCAAGGUGACCACUGGUGCUGUGUUGAGGUGAGUCAAACACAGCAAUCACACAGUGACAAGGUAAGGUGACUGCAGUGCUGUGUUGAGGUAAAGUAAGCACUGCAGUGACGUGUGCCAGGGACUCGCUGUGACAAGAGCGACACUCGGGGGGG